rnacentral:rRNA from 1 species
UGCAGUCGAACGGCAGCACGGAGCUUGCUCUGGUGGCGAGUGGCGAACGGGUGAGUAAUAUAUCGGAACGUACCCUGGAGUGGGGGAUAACGUAGCGAAAGUUACGCUAAUACCGCAUACGAUCUACGGAUGAAAGUGGGGGAUCGCAAGACCUCAUGCUCGUGGAGCGGCCGAUAUCUGAUUAGCUAGUUGGUAGGGUAAAAGCCUACCAAGGCAUCGAUCAGUAGCUGGUCUGAGAGGACGACCAGCCACACUGGAACUGAGACACGGUCCAGACUCCUACGGGAGGCAGCAGUGGGGAAUUUUGGACAAUGGGCGAAGGCCUGAUCCAGCAACGCCGCGUGAGUGAAGAAGGCCUUCGGGUUGUAAAGCUCUUUUGUCAGGGAAGAAACGGUGAGGGCUAAUAUCCCUUGCUAAUGACGGUACCUGAAGAAUAAGCACCGGCUAACUACGUGCCAGCAGCCGCGGUAAUACGUAGGGUGCAAGCGUUAGUCGGAAUUACUGGGCGUAAAGCGUGCGCAGGCGGUUUUGUAAGUCUGAUGUGAAAUCCCCGGGCUCAACCUGGGAAUUGCAUUGGAGAUUGCAAGGCUAGAAUCUGGCAGAGGGGGGUAGAAUUCCACGUGUAGCAGUGAAAUGCGUAGAUAUGUGGAGGAACACCGAUGGCGAAGGCAGCCCCUGGGUCAAGAUUGACGCUCAUGCACGAAAGCGUGGGGAGCAAACAGGAUUAGAUACCCUGGUAGUCCACGCCCUAAACGAUGUCUACUAGUUGUCGGGUCUUAAUUGACUUGGUAACGCAGCUAACGCGUGAAGUAGACCGCCUGGGGAGUACGGUCGCAAGAUUGAAACUCAAAGGAAUUGACGGGGUCCCGCACAAGCGGUGGAUGAUGUGGAUUAAUUCGAUGCAACGCG